CGCUGGGGACUAAAGGGCUUUCUCCCUCCUCCUCUUCCUAGCUGAACCCUUCUGCUCGCAAGAUGAUCGUGGCAUCUCAGGAAAAUGUAAUAGCUGUGCUGGGGAGACAACUCAGAAGGUAAGAGCUUUUGCCACACAAGCAACCCUG
rnacentral:lncRNA from 14 species